GUUCGAGACCAGCCUGAGCAACACAGCAAGACCUCCAUCUGUACCACACACACACACACACAAAAUAAAAUUGUUAAUGCAAAUUAAUAAUCUGAUGAAAAUCUUCGCACUUCUUUUUGGAAUGACAGAGCAGUGAGUCACUGGAAAGUCUCCCAGGGAGGGGAAGUGGCUGCAUCCUUGAGCUCGUCACUCAUUGGCACACCAGUUAUCUCUGCCCUGCAGAGAGCCAAGGCGUCCUUCAGACAGGAAAUAGGAUCUUAGUGGGUGGCCGCCAAGAGUGCACAGACUUUGAAGCAGGAAAAGACAGUCUCUAGAGCAACAUGGAAAGGAUCCAGACUGCCAGCAAGCAAGCGGGGAAGUGGAGAACAGCUGGGAUUCUCCAGUGAAAAGGUGGCUCAGUGCGAGAGAUGUCAAGAGGCUGGGAUUGGCGCCCAUCGGGAGGCGCAGAGCUCUCUCCCUCACGCUUCCUGGGAAAUGAAGGAGAAAUAACAGGCAGCCCGCAUUUGCAGCCAGCCAGCCUGGGUGGUAUUCCGUGAAGUGAAGCACUCAUAAAUCCCUUCUGGGGCCAGAGCCGGUUUGACAAGCUGCGGGAUUUGGGUGGUCUGCCUGCUCUUCGGGAGUGGCCUUGGGAAGCUGAAGAAAUUGAAUCAGGACCCCAGGCCCUUUACAGACUCCCUUCUACACUUGGUUGCUGAUUAAGAACAUUAUGUGGCAUUUAAAAUGGCACAAUUAUCUUCCUUUGGUGGUUCCUAGCUAAAAGUAGACUCCUAUCAGCCUGUGACUGACGACAAGAAGGCUCUUCGUCCCUGUUUUUGAAAUAAACAUGAGUAUAAU